ACGGGGGGUGCGAGCGUUAUUCGGAAUUACUGGGCGUAAAGCGCGUGCAGGCGGUUUGAUAAGUCUGAUGUGAAAGCCCCGGGCUUAACCUGGGAAGGGCAUUGGAAACUGUUGGACUUGAGUACUGGAGAGGAAGGGGGAAUUCCCGGUGUAGGGGUGAAAUCCGGAGAUAUCGGGAGGAACACCUGUGGCGAGGGCGUCCCACUGGACGGCUUCUGACGCUGAGCCGCGAAAGCGUGGGGAGCAAACAG
rnacentral:rRNA from 1 species